CUUCUGAUGAUGAGACCUUUGUCCAGUUCUGCUGCUGAUUGGAGAGGGAUGACAAUUUGUGAGGCUGAAGAAG
rnacentral:snoRNA from 1 species